rnacentral:misc_RNA from 1 species
GCUGGUGUAAGACCUCAACGAGAAUCCUCUCGGGCGGGCAACCGGCAGUGAAGCAGGAAACCUCACGGGCGACCGUGGGAAUCCCCCUCGUUCACGAGGGGGAGGAGGUCAACUCAUCCUCC